rnacentral:rRNA from 1 species
UGGGGAAUCUUCCGCAAUGGACGAAAGUCUGACGGAGCAACGCCGCGUGAGUGAUGACGGCCUUCGGGUUGUAAAGCUCUGUUAAUCGGGACGAAUGGUUCUUGUGCAAAUAGUGCAAGGGUUUGACGGUACCGGAAUAGAAAGCCACGGCUAACUACGUGCCAGCAGCCGCGGUAAUACGUAGGUGGCAAGCGUUGUCCGGAAUUAUUGGGCGUAAAGCGCGCGCAGGCGGAUUGGUCAGUCUGUCUUAAAAGUUCGGGGCUUAACCCCGUGAUGGGAUGGAAACUGCCAAUCUAGAGUAUCGGAGAGGAAAGUGGAAUUCCUAGUGUAGCGGUGAAAUGCGUAGAUAUUAGGAAGAACACCAGUGGCGAAGGCGACUUUCUGGACGAAAACUGACGCUGAGGCGCGAAAGCCAGGGGAGCGAACGGGAUUAGAUACCCCGGUAGUCCUGGCCGUAAACGAUGGGUACUAGGUGUAGGAGGUAUCGACCCCUUCUGUGCCGGAGUUAACGCAAUAAGUACCCCGCCUGGGGAGUACGACCGCAAGGUUG